GAUGAAGAACGUAGCGAAAUGCGAUAAGUAAUGUGAAUUGCAGAAUUCAGUGAAUCAUCGAAUCUUUGAACGCACCUUGCGCCCUUUGGCCAUUCCGAAGGGCAUGCCUGUUUGAGUAUCAUGAACACCUCAACUCUUUAUGGUUUUCCAUGAUGAGCUUGGACUCUGGGGGUUUUGCUGGCUCACAGUCGGCUCCUCUGAAAUGAAUCAGCUUACCAGUGUUUGGUGGGUAUCAUAGGUGUGAUAGCUAUCUACGCUUGUGGUUUUUCCACCAGGUAACCUUCAGCAGUGGAGGUUCGCUGGAGCUCAUAGAUGUCUCUCCUCAGUGAGGACAGCCCUUUGAAUGUUUGAUCUCAAAUCAGGUAGGACUACCCGCUGAACUUAAGCAUAUCAAUAAGCGGAGGA
rnacentral:misc_RNA from 1 species